UACGGAGGGUGCAGGCGUUAUCCGGAUUUACUGGGUUUAAAGGGUGCGCAGGCGGAUAUGUAAGUCAGUGGUGAAAUCUCCGGGCUUAACCCGGAAACUGCCGUUGAUACUAUAUAUCUUGAAUGCUGUGGAGGUAAGCAGAAUAUGUCAUGUAGCGGUGAAAUGCUUAGAGAUGACAUAGAAUACCUAUUGCGAAGGCAGCUUACUACGCAGAUAUUGACGCUCAUGCACGAAAGCGUGGGGAUCAAACAGG
rnacentral:rRNA from 1 species